ACAUACUGAGCUUCAGUCUUUCAGAACGGAGACACCCCCAGUUUUGUACUCAAAAAGCAUAAACAGCUCUGCUGAUGUGACAUCUGAUUUCUACGUGCGCAGUGAGCCAAAACAGCUGCUGUUUGCUAUGGAAAAAGUGGCGCCAAUCGAGAUUUUUGAGACCCUAGGCUCAAAAAUAAGGCAUAGAAUUCCAAAGGAAGUCGCUGCCGUGAGCACAACCUAAGAAAAACUAUCCCAAAAGACUUUUUCUGCAAUUUGAAAUACUGAAUUUCAGUAUUUUU
rfam:Streptococcus pyogenes M1 GAS, complete genome.